rnacentral:rRNA from 1 species
GACGAACGCUGGCGGCGUGCUUAACACAUGCAAGUCGAACGGAAAGGCCCUGCUUUUGUGGGGUGCUCGAGUUGCGAACGGGUGAGUAACACGUGAGUAACCUGCCCGUGACUUUGGGAUAACUUCAGGAAACUGGGGCUAAUACCGGAUAUGAGCUCCUGCUGCAUGGUGGGGGUUGGAAAGUUUCGGCGGUUGGUGAUGGACUCGCGGCUUAUCAGCUUGUUGGUGGGGUAGUGGCUUACCAAGGCUUUGACGGGUAGCCGGCCUGGUAGGGUGACCGGCCACAUUGGGAAUGAGAUAAGGCCCAGAAUCCUACGGGAGGCAGCAGUGGGGAAUAUUGCACAAUGGGCGGAAGCCUGAUGCAGCAACGCCGCGUGCGGGAUGACGGCCUUCGGGUUGUAAACCGCUUUCGCCUGUGACGAAGCGUGAGUGACGGUAAUGGGUAAAGAAGCACCGGCUAACUACGUG